rnacentral:rRNA from 1 species
AUGGACGGCCGCCGAAGAGGAGAGCGGGAGGUGAACCGGUGGCAUACAGGUCCUGAGGAGGCGCGUGAGAGGGACUCCGGCUCCUCCUCCCCGGCUGCCAUCAUCCUCUUUGCCCUCAUCGGCNNNNNNNNNNNNNNNNNNNNNGUUGGUCAACUGCGCCGCACCUUUGGCUGGUUCUACACUCAGCUUAGCAGAUCAGAACCAUAUGUCUACUGGGAAGACAUACCCCGUGGGCCGAAUAGGUGCGGUGAUGCGUGGCGAUAUUACCGGAGGACGCGUGAGACGAACGAGGAUCAGAGGAAGAGAGUGGAAAGCAUCAUGCACAUGCAAGAUAUGUUCAAGAAGGAGAGAAGUAAAUGCCGGGAUUAUCGGACUCGCAAUGGUCAUAAUCCAACCUAUAAUCAGCAUAGUCGAAGAGAAGACUGGUAUGAAGAUGCAGAAACAUUUUAUGCCAAUCAAAGAACAAAUUUCAGAUCAAGGCCCAGGGAAGCUAUGCAGUACAGUAUGUCACAUCACUAUUCUGUCUUGGGCCUAAACAGGUCAAGACCAGAACCAUUUUCAGAUGCUGAGAUUAAGAAUGCGUUUAGGAGAAAAGCAAUGGAAUACCAUCCAGACCAAAACCAAAACAACAAAGCGGUUGCUGAGGAAAAAUUCAAAGAGGUCAUGGAUUCUUACGAAGCAAUAAAAUUAGAAAGGCAAAAUGGAAGUUGCUGA